UUUUCCCUUAGUUGAUGGGACUGAAGGCUUGUCAUGAUCGUAAUAUCACCCACCGGUAUAUCAAACCUGAGAACAUGAUCAUUUGCUUUGAGGACAUGGAGACUGUAAAGUGUCUAAGAGAGGUUCCAUCUGAAGCAAAGCAAAAUAAGCUGAACAUAUCUGAACAGACAUUUGAGUACACUCCUCCAGAGGCACUCCUUAAUUCAAACUGGUUUCAAGGAUCAAGAAGUGCAAGGCUUAAAUAAGUGACCGUACACGUAUUUUAAUGGAUCAGCAUCUCGGAGGGUGGAGUGAACAAACAAAGGAGCUUGCAUACAAGUUGAGGUCAUACAUGGAGUUGUGCAUUUUAGUCCCAGGGAUUUCCUCGCAGCAUCAUGGCACUGGUAGCCCAGAACAGG